rnacentral:rRNA from 1 species
UGGGCAACCUGCCCCAGACACAGGGAUAACCCCGGGAAAACCGGGGCUAAUACCGGAUACUCCGGUCGAGCCGCAUGACUCGAUCGGGAAAGCUCCGACGGUCUGGGAUGGGCCCGCGGCCUAUCAGCUUGUUGGUGGGGUAACGGCCUACCAAGGCGACGACGGGUAGCUGGUCUGAGAGGACGACCAGCCACACUGGAACUGAGAUACGGUCCAGACUCCGUACGGGAG